rnacentral:rRNA from 1 species
AUUGAACGCUGGCGGCAUGCUUUACACAUGCAAGUCGAACGGUAACAGGCCUUCGGGCGCUGACGAGUGGCGAACGGGUGAGUAAUGCAUCGGAACGUGCCCAGUCGUGGGGGAUAACGCAGCGAAAGCUGUGCUAAUACCGCAUACGAUCUGCGGAUGAAAGCGGGGGACCUUCGGGCCUCGCGCGAUUGGAGCGGCCGAUGUCAGAUUAGGUAGUUGGUGGGGUAAAGGCUCACCAAGCCAACGAUCUGUAGCUGGUCUGAGAGGACGACCAGCCACACUGGGCCUGGGACACGGCCCAGACUCCUACGGGAGGCAGCAGUGGGGAAUUUUGGACAAUGGGCGCAAGCCUGAUCCAGCAAUGCCGCGUGAAGGAAGAAGGCCUUCGGGUUGUAAACUGCUUUUGUACGGAGCGAAAAGGCUCCCUCUAAUACAGGGGGCUCAUGACGGUACCGUAAGAAUAAGCACCGGCUAACUACGUGCCAGCCGCCGCCGUAACAC